GUUUUUAUAAUUUAAUAAAAAAUAUUGAUUUUGUAAUUCAAAAAUAAGAAAUUUUCUUUAAAAACU
rnacentral:tRNA from 1 species